rnacentral:rRNA from 1 species
GUAGCGGCGAGUGAAGCGGCAAAAGCUCAAAUUUGAAAUCUGGCACUUUCAGUGUCCGAGUUGUAAUUUGAAGAAGGUAUCUUUGGGUCUGGCUCUUGUCUAUGUUUCUUGGAACAGAACGUCACAGAGGGUGAGAAUCCCGUGCGAUGAGAUGUCCCAGACCUAUGUAAAGUUCCUUCGAAGAGUCGAGUUGUUUGGGAAUGCAGCUCUAAGUGGGUGGUAAAUUCCAUCUAAAGCUAAAUAUUGGCGAGAGACCGAUAGCGAACAAGUACAGUGAUGGAAAGAUGAAAAGAACUUUGAAAAGAGAGUGAAAAAGUACGUGAAAUUGUUGAAAGGGAAGGGCUUGAGAUCAGACUUGGUAUUUUGUAUGUUACUCUCUCGGGGGUGGCCUCUACAGUUUACCGGGCCAGCAUCAGUUUGAGCGGUAGGAUAAGUGCAAAGAAAUGUGGCACUGCUUCGGUAGUGUGUUAUAGUCUUUGUCGAUACUGCCAGCUUAGACUGAGGACUGCGGCUUCGGCCUAGGAUGUUGGCAUAAUGAUCUUAAGUCGCCCGUCUUGAAACACGGACCAAGGAGUCUAACGUCUAUGCGAGUGUUUGGGUGUAAAACCCGUACGCGUAAUGAAAGUGAACGUAGGUAGGACCUCCUUUAGGAGUGCACUAUCGACCGAUCCUGAUGUCUUCGGAUGGAUUUGAGUAAGAGCAUAGCUGUUGGGACCCGAAAGAUGGUGAACUAUGCCUGAAUAGGGUGAAGCCAGAGGAAACUCUGGUGGAGGCUCGUAGCGGUUCUGACGUGCAAAUCGAUCGUCGAAUUUGGGUAUA